UAGAGUUUGAUCAUGGCCCAGGACGAACGCUGGCGGCGUGCCUAAUACAUGCAAGUAGAACGCUGAAGAGAGGAGCUUGCUCUUCUUGGAUGAGUUGCGAACGGGUGAGUAACGCGUAGGUAACCUGCCUUGUAGCGGGGGAUAACUAUUGGAAACGAUAGCUAAUACCGCAUAACAAUGGAUGACACAUGUCAUUUAUUUGAAAGGGGCAAUUGCUCCACUACAAGAUGGACCUGCGUUGUAUUAGCUAGUAGGUGAGGUAAUGGCUCACCUAGGCGACGAUACAUAGCCGACCUGAGAGGGUGAUCGGCCACACUGGGACUGAGACACGGCCCAGACUCCUACGGGAGGCAGCAGUAGGGAAUCCUCGGCAAUGGGGGCAACCCUGACCGAGCAACGCCGCGUGAGUGAAGAAGGUUUUCGGAUCGUAAAGCUCUGUUGUAAGUCAAGAACGGGUGUGAGAGUGGAAAGUUCACACUGUGACGGUAGCUUACCAGAAAGGGACGGCUAACUACGUGCCAGCAGCCGCGGUAAUACGUAGGUCCCGAGCGUUGUCCGGAUUUAUUGGGCGUAAAGCGAGCGCAGGCGGUUUGAUAAGUCUGAAGUUAAAGGCUGUGGCUCAACCAUAGUUCGCUUUGGAAACUGUCAAACUUGAGUGCAGAAGGGGAGAGUGGAAUUCCAUGUGUAGCGGUGAAAUGCGUAGAUAUAUGGAGGAACACCGGUGGCGAAAGCGGCUCUCUGGUCUGUAACUGACGCUGAGGCUCGAAAGCGUGGGGAGCGAACAGGAUUAGAUACCCUGGUAGUCCACGCCGUAAACGAUGAGUGCUAGGUGUUGGAUCCUUUCCGGGAUUCAGUGCCGCAGCUAACGCAUUAAGCACUCCGCCUGGGGAGUACGACCGCAAGGUUGAAACUCAAAGGAAUUGACGGGGGCCCGCACAAG
rnacentral:rRNA from 1 species